CCUACGGGGGGCAGCAGUGAGGAAUAUUGGUCAAUGGGCGUAAGCCUGAACCAGCCAAGUCGCGUGAGGGAUGAAGGUUCUAUGGAUUGUAAACCUCUUUUAUAAGGGAAUAAAGUGCGGGACGUGUCCCGUUUUGUAUGUACCUUAUGAAUAAGGAUCGGCUAACUCCGUGCCAGCAGCCGCGGUAAUACGGAGGAUCCGAGCGUUAUCCGGAUUUAUUGGGUUUAAAGGGUGCGUAGGCGGCCUUUUAAGUCAGCGGUGAAAGUCUGUGGCUCAACCAUAGAAUUGCCGUUGAAACUGGGAGGCUAGAGUAGGUUUGAGGCAGGCGGAAUGCGUGGUGUAGCGGUGAAAUGCUUAGAUAUCACGAAGAACCCCGAUUGCGAAGGCAGCUUACUAACCUGUGACUGACAUUGAUGCACGAAAGUGUGGGUAUCAAACAGGAUUAGAUACCCGUGUAGUC
rnacentral:rRNA from 1 species